rnacentral:tRNA from 1 species
AAUAGUUUAGUUAAUAAUAAUAUUAAUUUGUCAAGUUAAAGUAAGGAAA